AUAAGCAGAUACGAUACAUUAUAAAGGCACAACGAAAGUUUUAUAAGUGACGCAUGUGCAUAUAUGAUUAUUUCUCUGUGAGAAAAAUAGAGUGGCAUAGGGAAUAUACUCUUUUGAUCUUUUUUCUGUAGAUUCUUCUAUAUUUAAGGAGAAUAUAAUUUUUAAAAUUUCUUAGAAAUUCCGAUCCUAUGUCCGAGUAAUUAAUACAAUGAAAUAAAAGCACUUUCUCUAUGAACCUGUUGAUAUUAAUAUCAAUCAAGAAAUAUUAACAUCUUGUUAAAUAAUUUCUGCAAAAAAGAAAUAUAAUACUUUUGAAAAAAUGGAACCCAUAAAACCCAUGAAGUUAAUGGUACGUUCGUUAGCAUCAUUUGUAAUCCUUGCAAGUGUAAUACACUCUGUUUGGUAUCUUUUUCGAGAAAAAUAUGU